ACAGUCAGAGAUCAGAGGCCACACCAUCCUAGCAGUGGAGCAGGACCAGCUGGGACAGGGUCCUUCUGUGACACCUGCUGCAUCACCAGCCUAUGUGAAUGGAUUCAGCUGCCAGAACUCACAGAGUAUCAGUAUUAGCACCGAAACCUCACAGGAAAAAUGCUCCACGUUUAGCUCCAUGAACUUCAGACUUAAACAGCAUCACUGGCUCCUGACCAGGAUUCCAGCUCCACAAACCUCAAACUAGAACACCAGCCUGGCUUCUCCACAGGUCUCCAGCUCCAAAACCUAAGACAUCAGUGGCAGUACCUACUCCUCCCAGGGGGCUCCAGCUCUGAGACCCUCAGACUUGAACCGCAGCACCAGCUGUUCCCCAGAUCUCCAGCUCCAUGACCCUCAGACUUAAACAACAGCAGCACCAGCUCAUCCGUGGGUCUAUAUCUCCACGACCCUCAAGCUAGGAAAACAUCAGCUCCUCCCCGGGUCUCCAACCGCACGACCCUCCAACUAGAAACACACCAGCUCCUCCCUCAGUCUCCAGCUCCACAAGCCUCCCACUAGAACA
rnacentral:lncRNA from 10 species